rnacentral:lncRNA from 1 species
UUUUGAGGAACAUAUCCACUUGUGAGUACAAUUUUAGGUUUCCAGAUAACUUUUGAGAAGAUUUCACACCUUCAGAAACUUCAACCACACAAAUAAAAAACCCAAAUCUGAGUAAUGAUAAAGAAAUUGCUAAUUUAAAGAUUGAAAAUAGAGGAUCUGUUAUAAAAGGUAUUAGCAUUACUUUAGCCCCAGAACUUCCCAGCCACCUUGGAAAUAAAUAUAAAAAGAUUCAAAUUGGUGACUUAAUAGACUUGUUUGGAUAAAGACUUGUUUGGAUAAAGCCUCCGUUUUGAACAGUGGAGAUUUUUCAGGCAAGAUUAAACAUUUCAAUAAUAAAAGAAAUGCAAAACAAUAGAUUACCAAUCAGAAAUACAAAUUGACUUAAUGUGAAUGUCUCCCAUAACUUUGCCCAGUUGAAGAAGGCACUAUGUGGGCUCCCUGGUUUGCACAUUUGCCACCAGGGAGCAAUCAAAUAUGAAGUUGCAUGUAGAAAAGUG